GGACUGACUCGUGCUGCUGCUGCUGCUGGGGCCAGGUGGGUAGGGCGGAAGGGGCAUCCUAAUGACCCCUUACAUUGACCCUAUUAUCUACAUCACACUCGUAACAUCCACACAAAAAAAAGUUGAUUAAUGGACAAGGUCCUUUUCCCUGGCACGUUCGUUUGCUUCUGCCUCCUGUCCUUCAUGAACCGAGGAGCGUGUUUUCUUUUUCCCCAGUUCUGCGUGGCCUGUUCCCCGUGCUCCAAGCGUGGCCGACAGGAUUUCGGUGACUGAAGUCAUCCCCUCUUUAAAUUUGAAUUCCUACCCCCGGCCCUCUAAACCUCAUUACAAAUCAGCCCGGCUGCCCAGCUCUUCCAAAAACCGUUGGGUUCGUGCUCUUGGCGCCUGCAAGGGUCUGCCGGAGCUGUCAGGGGUUGCUUAACCUCCUCCCGAAGCCUUGGGGAAAUGGAUGGUUUUGUCAGCCCCGACGAAGACCUGCUACCAGAUAACGGGGCAAAAAUCUGUAUCGAAGGUUUCAAGGUUGUUGGUUCUAGCCAUGUUGUCUGAGGACAUGGGUGGACAUGAAUCUUUUAUUCGACCAGCGAAAGGGUUGGGAAAAUCUUUUUUUGCAAGCUUUCACGGACAAACGCCCUUCUUUAGGCACACGGAGAUUUGAAGAAGGGCGUUUGUGCCCAAAAGCUUGCAAAGAACAAUUUUUUCCAGCUAUUUAGUUGGUCAAACCUCGUCUGCCUAUUUAAUGUUUUGGCUUUUUUAUACAUCAGUUCUUUUAUUUUCCUGUCUGGAUGGAUCCUUACUAUUAUUAGAUUCAUGAUUAUUAAUGGAUCUAUUGCUAUUCCUUCCUGAUACACUUAUUUUCUUUCAAUCUGCUGACCGUUGAUUUCUUCUCACGUGCUUUUCCCCUGCCAGCAGGGACGCUCAUUUGUGCAUGAAGUAAUCUGCAGUUCUGCCUCGUCUGGAAGGAGGUAUUCCCGGCAUUGCAGAUGUGAACAGCCAGUUCUUCAGCUAGCAGUGGUUGGUGUUGCCCCAUUGAAUUCGGUAUCCCGUUCUCACUCAUUUGUAUUUGUUUCUCUUUCUAGGCCUUGCUGAGAUGUCAAGCAUGUCUUACUCUGAAAUAAUAGUGCCCAGAAAGCUAGAAGCAAAGGAUGGCAUAGACAGCAAGGUUUUCCUGGUCAGUGUGGAGGAACUGAUGAAGAAACAGUGGAUCAACCCAUUGGAGAGUGCCAAAAAAUGCAAGUAAGAGUUCACUACCUAAAUUUAAUGUAUGUAGAUGUUCACACGCACUGAAUGUAGCGUUGUAGCUUGUCUCUGGAAAAGCUGUGUUGAAUGUUAGAGGUCAUCUCACUUGUGCUGGGAAUCUGUUGGGAAAUAUGGUACCUUACUUACUUGCAUACUGCAGGCCUUAUUCCUCUCCAAAAAAAGCCCCCCCCCAAAUUAGUUGCAUGUUUUAAGCAGGAUUGCUGAUUUUCAGUCUGGAAUAGAAGCCCCUUGCAUUGAUUACUGCUCCACACUGCAGCACCAGUAGCAUUACUAUUCAGGCAGCUCUAGGAGCCAGUGGACUUAAUGGCACAUUGUUUUUCACUGCACAGAUGUUAAUGCUCAUCUCUCCUUUUUAACAGUCUUGAUGUUUUUAACCAAUCUAACCUUUCUUUGCUGCCUGCUAGCUGCUCCUGGUCUCUCUUCCCUAUUUCAGAGUCCUGGAAACUUUAGCUCUUUGAAAAAUCAUAGAGCCACCCAUGGAGACCAGUCUUAAGCAGCAGCUAGGGAUUCAGCUUGUAGUUAAGCAGGAAAGGAGGGAGGGUGAAUGAGAUGAAGAUGAGGCUCUAUCCCUAUUCUGUGCAGCCAUAACUCUGGAAAAAUCUUUUUUUCUUUUUAUUCUGUCUUUCCAAAAAUGAGGUGCGUGCCUUAUUUGGGAGGGGUGGAGUGGGGUGUUGUAUACCAAAAAAAUACGGUCCAUCCGGGGCUUAUCUGUAUGUCUGGAGGCUGAAGACAUUUACCUCUACUCAGGGGCACUAUGCAUUGCAGGCUGCCCGCUCUACAUUUUUGUGUCUAAAUUCCCCAUUCGGUCUUUAUCCCCUGGGGACAGAUCAUUCCUGCUGACCUGAGCUUGUUAAUGAGGAUGUCCUGGGAGGCAGCAUCAAAAGCCUUGCUUAAAUCAAGGUAGAUCACAUCUAUUUCUCUUUCCCCAUCCAUAGGUCCUGUCACCUCUUCACAGAAGGGAAUCUGGUAGAUUAGGUGUGACUUGCUCUUGGUGAAUCCAUGCUGGCUGCUCCUGAUUGUUCGGUUCUUCUCUAGUACAUUCACAGUCUAUUCCCUAAGGAUCUGCUUCAUGUUCUUUCCAGGUAUUGGGAUCAAGCUGAGAUCUGUAAUUCCCAAGAUCCUCCUCUUCCCUUUUUUUAAUGGCGGGCACUCUAUUUGCUUUUUUCUAAUUGUUUGGGGUCUCACCCAUCCUCUGCAAGUUCUCAAAGAGGAUAGCUAAUGGCUCAGAAAUGACCUUAGCCAAUUCCUUCAGUGCCUUAGGGUGCAUCCCAUCCAGUCCUGCCAACUUGAAAGCACCUAGCUUCUCUAAGCAAUCCCUAACCUAUCCUUCGACUACUCUAGGCUAUUUGUCUCCUUCCCUAUCUUUGUUGCUAACUGUACUCAUCAUCUGGUAGCUGCCCCUAUUUUUGAAGGUUGAAAUACAAAAGGCAGUAAUAUUAUGGCCUCCUCUGCAUCACUCAAAACUAGAUUGCCUUCUGCAAUCUGUAAAGGGCUUCUUCAUCCUCUUGAUCUAUGUGGAAAAUCCCUUUUUUAUUGCCUUUUUAAGUCUCUCUCCAGCUGCUUCUCAAAUCAUACCUCAGUCUUCUAAUUUUCUCUCUGCAUUCCCAUGCAAUACCCUUACACUUUUUCUUAGUACUAUGACCAAGUUUCUACUUUUUGUAGAAUCUGUUUUUGAGUUUCAUCAUGUUGAAUAGAUUGCUGUCUGACCAGGCUGGCAUCCCGCUGCACUUUCCAUUCUUCCUGCACAUCGGGAUAGCUUGCUUCUGCAUCUCUAAGAUGACCCCUUUAAAGUACAGGCAGUUCCCAGAGGAUCUUACCCACCAGGAGUUUGUUGAAGUCUGCUUUUCUGAAGUCCUGUGUCUUGAUUCUGCUGUUCUCCUCCCUGCCCCGCUUUAAGAUGUUGAACUCUAUCGUUUCAUGGUCGCUAUCACCCAAGUUACCUUCCACCUUCACGUUCCUCCCUGUUUGUGAGCAGCAAGUUAAGAAAAGCUUCCCUCAUCCUUGGCUUGUCUGCCCUCUGUAUCUAAAAAGUUACCCCCAGCACACUCCAAGAAUUUGUAGGACUGCUUGUUCACUGUUGUGCUUCCCUCUCAACAGGCAUCCUGAUAAUUAAAGUCCCCCAUGAGAACCAGGGGCUGCAGUUUGAAAACUUCCAUCAGUUGUUUGAAGGAGACUGCAGUUUUGGGCUGCAUCAAUAGAAACGUUAGGUGCAAGACACAGGAGGUGAUAGUGCCUAUCAUUGCUGAUUGGAGAUCAGCAGUGAUUAGGCCUCACUUGGAGUACUGCAUGCAGGUUUGGGCUCCACACUUCAAAAAAGGAUGUGGAGAAGUUGGAGUCCAGAAGCAGGUGACAGAAAUCAUCAAGGGCUUGGAAAGCAAGUCCUUACAAGCAGAGGUGGAAGGCGCUAGAGGUGUUCAGCUUGCGGAAAAGGCACGUAAACAGGGACAUGACAGCUGUCUUCAAAUACUUGAAGGGCUGCCAUAAAGAAGAGGAAAAACAACUUAUUUUUGCUUGCUGCAGAGAGUAGGACAAGGACCCCUGGCUUGAAGUUGCUACAAAGUAGGUUUAGAUUGGAUUUUAAGAAAAAAAACUUCACUAUCAGAGCAGCAAGGUAGUGGGAUUAGACAGCUAGGGAAGUUGGGGACUCUCCAUCACUGGACGGGUUCAAGAAGAUGUUGGACAGCCAUGGGUCAAGGUUGAUUUAGGCGUAGCGAUGCCUGUGGUCUACUAUGGGGAUGUCCCAGGCUUCUGGGCUUUGCUGGUUGCUGCACAGGGCUAGGAGUAGUUCCAGUGCUGACGUUUUGUCGCUCAGGCUUCUUCCAUUCAUGUGCAAGCACCUAGUUUUUAACUUCAGACUCCUUUCAGUUUAUUAGCUGGAUAUAAAGUUCAGUCAUUUCACUAACUUUGCCUGUUUGGUCUCAUCAGUACUGGUAUUUCCUUCCUCCUUGUCGUUAAGAACUGCCACUUCCUGAGUCCGACCAUAGGUCCAUCUACCCCAGUAUCUCAUCUCACGCGGCGGAGGAGUGUGGAUGCCGAGGAGGAGCGUGAGCAGGUCAUGCCCAGAAUCUUCUACCCCCCGAUCCUCUUUCCUUGCGACUUCCAGCAAGCAGACUUUUAGGAAGCUCUGACUUUGAGGUUGUCCCGCGUCUCUCGUGCUCAAUAACAACCGUUGGAUCUUACCUCCAAGAAUGUGUUCAGUCCCCUCUUGGACUGGGUUAAGCUGUCAGCCUCCACAUCAUCUUCCGGCCAUGAAUUCCAGGAGUUAAUUGCACUUUAUUUUGUUUAAAGAAACUUCUUUUUGCUAGUUUUAAAACCUGCUACCUACUAGCAUUUACACUUACUCACUGGUGUUCCUUCAUCCAUUGGUGUAUCCGUUGUUUUCUUGAUUUUUAUCUUCCUCUGUAUUAAAGCCAGGCAUGGAGAUAGUAGACAGGUCUGGCUGUUAAUCAGCAUCCAGGCCCUACCCAGGCAUAGACCCAGGGGAAAAAAAGCACCAUAUGGGGCACCUCGGUUUAACUGCAGCCCCUCUUUCUUUUGCUGCCACAAAGGGUUUCAGGAUUAGGUUCAUCGCAGCAAGGAACUUUAAAUGAUUUCAGGUCUCUGUGCGAGAGAAGUUUAGACACUGCCUCAGCAUAUCUCAACUAGCAUCCCCCGCAACAAAAAAAAUAAAAAAUUGUCCUUAGGGUAGGGUUGGCAAGCUGGUCAAAUGACCAGUCAAAUAUUGGCAUUUGCCUGGUCACUUGAUUGCAUAUUUUUGGCCGGUCAAAGAUCAUAGCAACUUUACAAAAAAAACCCUAUUUUUUUUUUUGAAGUUUUCUUUACAGAAAUAUGAUUUUUAUUGUUUUUUGACACCUUUCUUAAUGGAACAUUUGUGCUUUUUCUGUGCAUUAUUUGGACUUAUUGGCAAUUUUUGACUGAUAACUUGACUGGUCAAUUGACUGAAUGGUAUUUGAUGGGUCAAAUACCCAACCCUACCUUAUGGAGUAGCAUUUCCUUGGACUGUCGGCAGCCACUGAAAAUUGAUUUGUUGGUAUAAUGUAAUUCUGUUCGAUGUCCAAUACUGCUGAGGAGAAUGGGCUGCUGUACAGAAUGAUCCUUAAUGGUUUUCUAUCCAGGUAAGCAGCAAAACACAAGUAUUGUACAGGACAGUAUUGUAAUAUAAUGAUCUGAUUUUUGCAUGCCACUUAACUCCCUGGGUAUGCUGCAUGAAAUCCUCUGUGUACUCCCGUACUUCCAGGAUAUUCAUGGUCGUCAGGUCUUGUAUGGACAUACCAGAUACUUAGAGUUAUUUUUUGUUAUGGACACAAAGCUGUAUACACAGGAUCACUGAAAUGAAUCUCGGGUGAUCAACUUAAUGCUUAAAUUGACCAAUCUGCUGAGCACUGUAAGUUUACACCAUGCAUGUGAAUUGGAGGAUGAAAUUCUCUCUUUUUUUUUUUUUAAUUACUCUCUUGACAAAAUCAAGGCAACCGCAAUUGUCAUUCUGCGUGAAACAAGUGGUCUGUCUAGUUGGGCGUCUUGUCUCACCAAGAGCGCUCACCAAGAUGGCUUAGUUCUCCUUUGCUCUAUGUCCAUGUUUCUCUCCCAUUAGGGCUGUGCAAAACUUCAGCAGCCGUUUCGUUUUGGAGAUGUUUCGGCCCAUUUUGGCAUCUGAAACGCUGAAUCCAAAUCAAAAUGGAACAUCUCCAAAACGAAAUGAAACUAUCCAAAACGUUUCUGAAAACUUUGGAGUUUCGGAGCGGGGCUUGCAGGGAAACAGAAGCAAAGAAGAGGGGCAGAAGGACUGCUUUGAUGCUGACUGUGGAGCUGGCCAGUGUCUGCAAUGUGUCCCUGAGGUCCGUCCAAUCCCAGUGCUCUGGGGGAGGGACGGCAGCCUAAUAUUUGCUCUGGUUUUCAGAUGUUCAGGACAGUUAAUGUUCGCAACUUUUCUGAUUGGAGCAGAGAUGUGGACGAAAAGAAACUUGGUGGCAGUUGUUGAUGAUGUGCUGAAGACUCAUAAGGCUUUUACUAAAUGGGCCGAAAAGUUCCUUAUUCCCCGUGUAUCUUUUGACCACGGACAGCUGCUUGUGUAAAUUUCUUUUCAUUUCAAUGAAUUAGACUAUGGAAAUGGCAUUUUAAAAUGUAAUUGUUUCUGUAGUAUAGGUUGUGAAAGCUUGCUAAAAAAAAAAUUUUUCCCCAACUAUUUUAGUUGGUCUAAUAAAAGAUAUCAGUUUCACCCAAAGAA